CAAAGGGGUCACACCUGUUACAUACCGAACACAGAAGUAAAGUCCUUUAGCGUCGAAAGUACUUGGUGGGCGACUGCCCGGGAGGAUAGAACGUUGCGUGGU
rnacentral:rRNA from 1 species